CCUACGGGGGGCAGCAGUGGGGAAUAUUGGACAAUGGGCGAAAGCCUGAUCCAGCCAUGCCGCGUGUGUGAAGAAGGCCUUCGGGUUGUAAAGCACUUUCAGUGGGGAAGAAAGCCUUGGGGCUAAUACCCUCGAGGAAGGACAUCACCCACAGAAGAAGCACCGGCUAACUCCGUGCCAGCAGCCGCGGUAAUACGGAGGGUGCGAGCGUUAAUCGGAAUUACUGGGCGUAAAGCGCGCGUAGGCGGUCUGAUAAGCCGGUUGUGAAAGCCCCGGGCUCAACCUGGGAACGGCAUCCGGAACUGUCCGGCUAGAGUGCAGGAGAGGAAGGUAGAAUUCCCGGUGUAGCGGUGAAAUGCGUAGAGAUCGGGAGGAAUACCAGCGGCGAAGGCGGCCUUCUGGACUGACACUGACGCUGAGGUGCGAAAGCGUGGGUAGCAAACAGGAUUAGAUACCCGAGUAGUC
rnacentral:rRNA from 1 species